UUGCUUCAGCAGCACGUAUGCUAACAUUGAAAUGAUACAGAAAAGAUCAGCAUGGGCCCUGCACAAGGAUGACACGCAAAUUCAUGAAGCAUUCCAUAUAUUU